AAAAGCAAAAACAACUGUGAUUAGUAAUCAACCGACUCUCACAGCUUUCAAAAUGGACAACGUACAACUUAAAAAGUUUGGGGAGGGCAUGAUGAGAGCAAUGUCAAGUCUUGAAUCAAAAGUGUGCUGCAUUGAUCAGAAACUAUCUGAGAUGGUAACUGUUGAAAGUUUAAAUGACAAAUUCAGUAAAAUGGCUACUAAAACAGACUUAGAAAAGGCCACGUCUGAAAUUGUCAAUAGGCUCAACGAUAAAGUUGACAUACUGGAAAACAGAGUUUUCGAUCUUGAGACAACCAAUGAUGAAUUGAAAAAGAAGGUGACUAGAUUAGAAAACAAUAUGGAAAAGAUGAAGGAAGCCAUAUCGGAAGUUGGAUACGCGGCAGAAAAAGCUGAGUAUGGAGUGAAUGAAAUAGGGCAGUAUACUAGGAAAUCCAGUGUGAGAAUAUUCGGAUUAGAAGAUGACCGCGAUGAAAAGGUAGAAAACACGUGUGAAAAAGUGAAUGCUCUUCUACAAUCUAAAUUGGAAAUGCAAAUCCAGAACAGUGAUAUUGAUAUCGCUCACCGCCUAGGCAGAUUCGACUCAAAAAAGAACAGGUCGAUCAUAGUUAAAUUCAUCUGCAGGAGAAAAAAAAAUGAGUGCAUCGCGAACCGAUACAAACUGAAAGGAACUGGUAUUGUCAUAAAAGACGAUCUGACCCAAGAAAACCAACAUUUGUUGGACAUGUGCUAUUACGAUGACAGAGUAAAGCAGUCGUGGUCUGACAAUGGUAAAAUGUAUGCUCAGCUGGUACACGACAAUUCCAUUCAUAGGAUAUAUCCGGGACUUUCAAUUGACGAACUUGUACACAAUCAUCAGCAAAACAAACGUGAAAAUUACAAACGAUAAAUGUUCAUUGCUUUGUGACAGUUGGUAACUGGCACCUCAUCACAAGUGACAGUCUAAGACAGUGGUGAGAGGUGUUAGUUUGUCAAAACACAAAUAUAUCGUGACUUUUGUGGCCGAGAGAGGUUUGAAUCAAAUUACAAACGUUUUCUUAACAUAAUGAAUAGAGUUUAUUUAUUCCUUUACCUUAACUGCCAUGGAUAGAAAUGUGGAAAAUUAAAAUGGCGAAAAUUCAAAAAGUCCAUUUUCUUCAUAAAAUGUAACUUGAAUAAGUUUAUAACACGAUCGUAAGCUGUUUGUAAUGUGUAUUUAUGUAUUUAUAUGUAAUAUGAAGGUGCUCAAUUUAAAAUAUAUAUGAAAAACACACGAGAUAUAACACGGUUAUUAGCUUAUAUAGUGUGUGUAUAUGUAUAAAUAAUACAUUGUAUAUGAAUAUCACAUGCGUAAACGCCAUACUUCAUGUAUUGAUUCUCGUCCCCGUUACGUAAAUGUAAUAUAUACGUCUCUGAUCGCAUAUCCAGUUACUUACUUGUUCAAUACCACUUUAUUUAUGAAUAUAUUAUGAGUUUGUUUACUAAAUAUCUUCCUAUAAACGUACGUUUACGCAGUGUGUUACCAGUGUUCAUGCACGUGCAAUAUUAGCAAGCGGGUGACUUAAGCAAGUCUAGAAGCUGUUCAAACUUCACAUAUAUAUGACUUUGAGAUACGUACGUAAGCCUGAUACAAUAUUUCUCAUAGUUUACAUGAAACAUAAUUGGAUAAUUAUGUAAGAAAUCGAGCCAUUGAUUGAAUAUCUUCUGUAAUUAUAGCUUAUAAGAGUAAAAAGAUACGAUACAAAUAGAUAUUGGUAUGACGUGGAUGAUACAUACUAUAGUGACAAUUACUGUGUACCAUACUUAUUUCAUUAUGAACAGUACUGCUUUGUGCUUAUAAUUUUGUGACGAACACGUGAUACUAUAUGAUGUUGGCCAAUUCAUGUUUGGCAGCGGUAUAUGUCCGGAGUUACCUCCCUGUUCCUUAAAGGGACGACAACUCUUGUUAAAUUUAGAUUUAUCCUUCCCUUGUUCCGGGAAUACCGUAUAAUUUUAUGACCUGACUUUACAUACAUGUGUAUAUAUAUCUAUGCAGUAUGCAUACAAAGAUUUUUUUUUAUUUUUUUUUAGAAAUAAGAGCAAAUGUGUCCACUCCUGGUAUGAAUAUCGUAUAUUCAAUAGUAUGUGAUAACCUGUGUAACAACACCAACUAAAGGGUAUAUCUAACUGCCGUUCUGAGAGUCGUAAGCAAGUAUCUCACUUCAUAUUUUUACUCUAUAUGCUACUUCGUCCGUGUUUAUUUCCACAACAGGGUGUAUGAUUUGGAGGUCACACUUUGUACCACUGUAGGG